GGUAAAUAUUCUUCCUUUGGUGUUAGCCAAAUGGACUCUAGGACCAUCCCAUCAUACAUCCAGCCUUCCAUCCAUCAUCACGUUUUCUAAUCACUUCCUCCUAACUCUUCCACAUCAUUCUUCACUACAUCUUCCCAUCUCAUUCUUGGUCUUCCAAUGGGUCUUUUUCAUGUAGGGUUUUUUUCUAGUAUCGUGCGGAGUAAUGGGUUUUGGUUUUUUUAAAUGUGUCCUGCCCCUUGUAGUCUCUUAUUUCUUAUUUCCUCAAUGACGUUUGUUUUUUUCAAGUAAAUAUAUACAAUUAAUUUUUUUUUCUAAUAUUUUUAUUGGCUGUUUGUUUUUGUUAUAGCUAUACCAGUUAGAAAACAUUAAAAUUGUAAGAGUUGAAUCUAAAUUGAACGAUUGUUUUUAUAGAGACAAAAUUUUAAAACAAAUUUUAACCCCCUUCAUUUACUAAAUUGAGUACAUUGAUUUUAUUGGUACUAUUGAUGCAUUUAUAUUUAAUUUAUUUGAAAUUCCUAAUGACUAUAUGGUAAUGUAUUAAUAACUCCCAUUUAACGAUUGUAUUAUUGCUAAGUUUCACUAUUACUAAACUAUUAUUACUAUUACAUUAUAUUUAUUAGCAUUAUGUUGCUUUUUUUUUAUAGAUUUCUUUAAAUGUGAUAUAUGUAGCCCUCAAAAAGUUUAAAGGAUUGUUUUCUAGAUCACUGGAUUUAGUUGGAUUUUAUAACAUUAAUGAUCUAAUAACAAAUUGUAAACCAAUGAUAACUGUAAGUAUUUAUACAUUUUGUAAAAAUAACUGGAAUGAUUUUCUCAUUUUAUCGAUUAUCUAUUUGUAUGUAUAUAAUUAAUAUAUUUAUUUGUGUGUUAGUGAAAUACUGUCACUAUAGAAUUGAUUGUAUAUGUUUACUCUAUGUUAAAAGGCAAAUCCCGUAAAAUAAAAAAAAAAAACAUCAAGUACCAGUUACCUUUGACCAAAUGUACCAGUUGCCUUUAGCCAAAUAUACCAGAUGUACUCAAUAUAUAAAAUAUAGUACCUAACUCAGAAUACAAAGAGGGACAUUUUAACCUGUGUAUUAUUUAAAGUACAGCUAAUAGGGAAAAAACCUAACCUUUUUAAUAGUCGAUAGGUAUAGUUAGUUAUAGGUACCUACCUAAUUAAUAAAUACCACGAACAGUAACCACCAAUAAUAUUAAUGUAAAAUAAAGGCCAUUUUUGGACUCGGACGAAUCAGAGAAGUUUCUCUGAUUCGUCCGAAAAAAAAAAAAAAAGGAUUUACUUAUAUCUAAGUGAGUGUCAAGUUUAAAUUAUAAAAACAAUUAGUUGUUUACUACUAAAUUUUGAGCUUAACAAUUUUUA